rnacentral:rRNA from 1 species
UACGGGGGGGGGCAAGCGUUGUUCGGAAUUACUGGGCGUAAAGGGCUCGUAGGCGGUUUGUCGCGUCGGGAGUGAAAACCUCGGGCUUAACUCGGGGCUUGCUUUCGAUACGGGCAGACUAGAGGUAUGCAGGGGAGAACGGAAUUCCUGGUGUAGCGGUGAAAUGCGCAGAUAUCAGGAGGAACACCGGUGGCGAAGGCGGCUCACUGGCCCGGUACUGACGCUGAGGUGCGAAAGCGUGGGGAGCAAACAGG